AACGAACGCUGGCGGCGCGCCUAAUACAUGCAAGUCGAGCGAGAAGACGUAGCAAUACGUUUGUAAAUCGGCGAACGGGUGAGGAAUACAUGGGUAACCUACCCUCGAGUGGGGAAUAACUAGCCGAAAGGUUAGCUAAUACCGCAUACGACUCUCGGUCUGCGGAUCGAGAGGGAAAGCGAUACCGUGGGUAUCGCGCUCUUGGAUGGGCUCAUGUCCUAUCAGCUUGUUGGUGAGGUAAUGGCUCACCAAGGCUUCGACGGGUAGCUGGUCUGAGAGGACGAUCAGCCACACUGGCACUGCGACACGGGCCAGACUCCUACGGGAGGCAGCAGUAAGGAAUAUUGCGCAAUGGGCGACAGCCUGACGCAGCGACGCCGCGUGGGGGAUGAAGGUCUUCGGAUUGUAAACCCCUUUCGGCAGGGAAGAUGGAAUGGCUAACCAUUCGGACGGUACCUGCAGAAGCAGCCACGGCUAACUUCGUGCCAGCAGCCGCAGUAA
rnacentral:rRNA from 1 species